UACGGGGGGGCAAGCGUUGUUCGGAAUUACUGGGCGUAAAGGGCGCGUAGGCGGCCUUCUAAGUCGGACGUGAAAUCCCUCGGCUUAACCGAGGAACUGCGUCCGAUACUGAAAGGCUUGAAUCCGGGAGAGGGAUGUGGAAUUCCAGGUGUAGCGGUGAAAUGCGUAGAUAUCUGGAGGAACACCGGUGGCGAAGGCGGCAUCCUGGACCGGCAUUGACGCUGAGGCGCGAAAGCUAGGGGAGCAAACGGGG
rnacentral:rRNA from 1 species